rnacentral:rRNA from 1 species
AUAUUGGACUAUGGGGGCAACCCAGAUCCAGCCAUGCCGCGCGUGUGAAGAAGGUCUUCGGAUUGUAAAGCACUUUAAUUUGGGAGGAAGGGAUCUAGUCUAAGACCCUGAAGUUUUGACGUUACCAACAGAAUAAGCACCGUCUAACUCUGGUUCAUCAGCCGCGGUAAUACAGAGGGUGCAAGCGUUAAGCGGAAUUACUGGGCGUAAAGCGCGCGUAGGUGGUUCAGUAAGAUGGGUGUGAAAUCCCCGGGGUUAACCUGUGAAAGGCUUUCAUAACUGCUGAGCUAGAGUACGGUAGAGGGUAGUGGAAUUUCCUGUGUAGCGGUGAAAUGCGUAGAUAUAGGAAGGAACACCAGUGGCGAAGGCGAAUACCUGGAAUGAUACUGACACUGAGGUGCGAAAGCGUGGGGAGCAAAC